UACGUAGGGGGCAAGCGUUGUCCGGAUUUAUUGGGCGUAAAGAGCUCGUAGGUGGUUCGGUAAGUCGGAUGUGAAAUCUCCAGGCUCAACCUGGAGGGGUCAUUCGAUACUGCCGUGACUAGAGGUCGGUAGGGGAGUGUGGAAUUCCUGGUGGAGCGGUGAAAUGCGCAGAUAUCAGGAGGAACACCCGUAGCGAAGGCGGCACUUUGGGCCGAUACUGACACUGAGGAGCGAAAGCGUGGGGAGCAAACGGG
rnacentral:rRNA from 1 species